rnacentral:rRNA from 1 species
AGUGAACGCUGGCGGUAGGCCUAACACAUGCAAGUCGAACGGCAGCACAGUAAGAGCUUGCUCUUACGGGUGGCGAGUGGCGUACGGGUGAGGAAUACAUCGGAAUCUACUUUUUCGUGGGAGAUAACGUAGGGAAACUUACGCUAAUACCGCAUACGACCUACGAGUGUAAGCAUGGGAUCUUCGGACCUUUCGCGAUUGAAUGAGCCGAUGUCCGAUUAGCUAGUUGGCGGGGUAAAGGCCCACCAAGGCCACGAUCCGUAGCUGGUCUGAGAGGAUGAUCAGCCACACUGGAACUGGGACACGUUCCAGACUCCUACGGGAGGCAGCAGUGGGGAAUAUUGGACAAUGGGCGGAAGCCUGAUCCAGCCAUACCGCGUGGGUGAAGAAGGCCUUCGGGUUGUAAAGCCCUUUUGUUGGGAAAGAAAAGCAGCAGGUUAAUACCCCGCUGUUCUGACGGUACCCAAAGAAUAAGCACCGGCUAACUUCGUG